AGUAGAAGAGAGGUUAAGUACAAAACCAAAGCUCCAUUCUGACUUAUUGCAAAGCAAGAUACGAAACGGUGCCGAUGGCGGUGUCUCCUUCUAACCAUUCCCUGUUGCCUCCUCGCCUAUCCGCUCCUUUCUCAUUAUCCACUAAGCACUCCAAAGCCCUAGCACUUUCUCAACCCCUCCAUUAUCACCACCGCCCUCUCCUCUGCAAGCCGAUUCUAGGGUUUCUUCCUCUCCCCAAUUCAUCCCCAAUCACCAUGGAUAACAAGUGCAGGCGUUUUUUCAAAUCUUAUUUUUCUGCCCAAGACUCCGCCCCCACGGCAAAUGGUAUAGAGGAUCAAAACCACCCAUCCAGUUUAAAGACUCUCAUUAACGUUUACAAGGAUGCCAUUCUUGUUGGAGAUGAAAAAACUGUAUCUGAUAUCGAGUCCAUGGUACACGUAAUAGAAAGUGAGCGGAAUGAAUUGGCCCAAAAAGUAUCAGCUCUAUCACUGGAAAUGACUUCUGGGAAGGAGAAAUACAUCCGCUUACAAGCCGAUUUUGACAAUUUUAGGAAAAGAUCAGAGAAGGAGAGACUGACCAUAAGGUCUGAUGCCCAAGGAGAAGUAAUUGAGAGCCUUUUGCCCAUGGUGGAUAAUUUUGAAAGAGCUAAGCAACAACUUAAACCAGAAACAGAGAAGGAAAAAAAGAUCAAUGCUAGUUAUCAGGGUAUAUACAAGCAAUUCGUGGAGAUAAUGAGGAGCUUGCACGUGGCUGCGGUAGCAACUGUCGGGAAGCCUUUCGAUCCCUUGCUGCAUGAAGCCAUUGCACGUGAGGAGUCGCAUGAGUUCAAGGAAGGGAUUGUAAUUGAAGAAUUCCGUCGUGGGUUUCAGCUUGGGCAACGGCUUUUGAGACCAGCAAUGGUUAAAGUUUCUUCAGGCCCCGGUAGUAAGAAAGUCCAAGUGGCCGUUGACAGCAACAAGUCCACUGUGCAAACUGCAACAGCUGCAGGAGUAGAUGAAGUAUAGAUUUUCCAGCGCAAGCUCAACUUGCUGUGCUGGCAAAUUUAGUUGAGUUCCAGUCGUUUCAUGAUGGUUUUGAUUACCACAGCUAGAGACGACACAUACUAUUGUUUCCACAAGGAGGAGGCUCAAUGUGCAUCUCCAAGAACAUUCAGGUUAUUUAUCAAAAAACAGAGGUCUGUUUCAGAUUAAAAAAGAAAACAACAUUGGAUAGAUGCUGAAUAAGGUAUCAUUGAGUUAGUAUUUUGUUAAAUUCUAAGCAAUGAUUGAUCUGCAAGAAUCAAGUAACAUCUAUUAAAUGUAUGAUGAGAAUCAAAACGAAAUGUUUGGUUUAUACUGUUCUAUCUAAAGUCAUUUAAUAAAAAGUUCUUAAGAAGUUUGAAAUGA